GUGGGGAAUAUUGGACAAUGGGCGAAACCCUGAUGCAGCGACGCCGCGUGAGUGAUGAAGGCCUUCGGGUCGUAAAGCUCUGUCGUAUGGGACUAACAAAAUGAAGGUACCAUGCAAGAAAGGAUCGGCUAACUUCGUGCCAGCAGCCGCGGUAAGACGAGGGAUCCUAGCGUUGUUCGGAAUUAUUGGGCGUAAAGCGGGUGUAGGCGGGCCUGUCAGUCAGGUGUGAAAUCCCAGGGCUUAACCCUGGAAGUGCACUUGAUACUGCAGGUCUUGAGUGUGGUAGAGGCUAUUAGAAUUCUUGGUGUAGUGGUGAAAUACGUAGAUAUCAAGAGGAAUACCGGAGGCGAAGGCGGAUAGCUGGGCCAACACUGACGCUGAGACCCGAAAGCGUGGGGAUCAAACAGGAUUAGAAACCCCUGUAGUCC
rnacentral:rRNA from 1 species